UAUUGAAGUUUGUGGUUGUAACAAGACAAUAUGUAAAGAAUUUAAAAUGGUAUGAAUACUUUUGAAAGGCGCUGUAGGAAGUGGUUUAGUAAAAGGGUGGCUGAGCAGGGUAUCACUUAAAUCUGUCACUGUCACAGAGCUGAAAGAAGCCAUGUGAUAUCUUCUGGAGUUCAUCUGGGCCAGCUUCUUUGCAAAUGUGCCUGUCUUGGCAUUUUGGAGAAAUUGGAAAAAUAUUAUUUGAUUGAUGACCAUGAAGCCUCAAAUUUCUUUACUGGAAAUGAAAAGGGAGAUUAUAAUCCUCAGGGUCAUAAAAUGCUUUCAACUCACAGAAGACCAUGUAAUCCUUCUCUCUGAGUAAAGAUGUGAAAAUAGCAGAAAUUGGAGUAACAAGAUUUUCACCUGACAGCAAUGUUUACUCUUCAAGCAGAUUUUUCUAUUUCCAUCCUCUCACACUAUUUGCCACAGUCACAUCUGCAGCAUAAUGUAGCAUGGAGACUGUGCUUUUCCGGGGAAUCAGUUGGGAAUUAGAUAAGCUUUGAAACUUUGUGUCUUUUGAGAGGGGGGAAUAAAGAAAAACAACGAUGACUCACUUUCUCAUGCGGAGAACUAUUUUCAUUACGUCUGCCUGUGACACCCAUAAGAACAUGGAAGGAAGACUACUGUUCGAGAUCAGGAGAGGAGAUGGCAGAGAAGGGUAGCUGAAAGAUCAUGACUACCGGCAUUGUGCCCAAAUGCUUCAAACUCAGAAUUUUAGAGAAGGCUAUAAAAAGACAGAGGAAGAAGUGCCUGAUAAGCCUUUUUUUUAUUUUAAUGCCAUGCAUUAGUAAACAUAGGGUAUGUCUUUUAAAGAACAGCAUAUUUAGGUCAGGAAUACCCAUUCUUUAGGUGGUUAGGGGACAGUCUUUGGCCUAAAAUAGAAGUAGUUGUUUUUAGCAAGUUUAAGGUUAUGACCCUAUAGCAUUUCUAGGUCUUUCUAGGUCUCCAAAUUAUACAUGGAGUACUUUAUUUUUAUUGCUUAAUGUUAGGUCCAAUAAAAUCUAUUGGCAUUGAUUGCAGGCUGUGGUGAAAGUACCCCUCUGUAACAAUAAAAUGUGUCAUUGGUUCUCAAUUAGCCUGGCAAAAACAAGCACCUUGUUCUACACUUUGCUUCAGUCUGGAUGCUGGGCUAUUAAGAAGCAAUUGUUUGCUGGAUGCAUGGACUCUAUUGACGUUUUAAAUGAUUGAAUUUGAUUUUACCAAAUCACUAAUGUUUGGCUGUGAUGCGCCAGCUGCACUGUGAAGAAAGCAGAAGCUUAUCAGAAAUUGUGUGCACUGUAAGCAAACAUCCCCCGCAGCAAAGAGAGAAGUGCACAACUGAAUGACAUCUUUGCCAGCAAUAAGAUUUAUUAAACUUCUUGCUCCUCUUCUUAUUAAACCUCUUGCUCCAACUUUAAUUGCUCAAUUUCUGGAAUGAAAAAGUGUGAACUGAAUGACUUUGUUCACCUCCUCCGCUGCCAUUGCCAAGCGACAAUUAUAGGCAGACCACAGUUCUAAGCCAGUGCAGAAAAUUUAUGUAAUCACUCACAACUGCUCUUUCUGUUCUCUGCUUGGCCCAGAUGAAAUUCAUCCUGAGAAAUCGAGCUCAAUCUGAGAAAUCCCUAACGGUGCACAGAAGGGAGAUGAGCAUUGGGUUCUAUUGCGUAGAAAAGUAAUGGCCAAGCUAGUUCUCACUGUGUAAACAGGCAUUAACCCUGACUGUAAGCAAGAACAGAAUUCUAAUUCAAGACAUAACAGUGAAAAAGAAAUAUACAUCCACAUAGUUCGAGUGCAUUUCAAAUUUUUAUGUCCCAGUUUUGUGAUGGCCCAGUUGCUCAUAAAUAUAUGUUAGUCAACGAAGGUUAGUUGUUACAUCAGAAAACUUGUAAUUUUUUGAGAAGGCUUUUGUUGUUUCUUUUAAUUUAAUUUAUUCAUUAUUUUAGUUCUUUUACCCUUGAUCUCUGGCCACAGAUUUGUGCAACCCCUCCAAAACCAGGUAUUUGCACACAAUUUAUUACUGAAAUAAUAUGAAAGCUAGUUUUACCCUCGAAUAGUCUUUGUGGUUGAGGGCAAAACUACUAAUUUAGUAUCAUAGCUCUUCACUCAGUAAUGUAAGUUUGAGCACAAUGUGGGCUGUUGGGCAGUGUUCUGUAACCCAAAUAUGACGGAGGUUAUGCAGGCUACUUUAGAACUUCUCAACUUUUUUAAUCGGAUGAAAAACCACAAAAUACGUACACAAAUUUGACAAAUACAUGUACAUUCCCAUUUUGGUUGCAGCUGACGAGACAACUCUGUGUUGAAGCCAAAGGUUGGGGCCGCCCCUUACUAGAUUAGAGUGGAGGGAAACAGAAAAGGGCAUAUUUCUACUCUAUUUGAAGAGAUGAUGGGUUUACAUAAAAAAAAUAAUAAAAACCCUGCCUCUGUGAGCUGUCUUUCAUUCACUGAAGUACAUACUAUAAUUCCACUUAAUCUGAUGUUGAGAGCAUAAUGGCAAAAAGGUACUCACCUAUACCGAUUAAUAUAUUUACAAAGGACCUAUUUAUGUUUCUGUGUUUAUGUUAGGCUGUCCUGAUGACAGAUAUCUGCACCACACCACAUAUUGAUGAGCAAUGAACACCAAACUGUAUAAAGCAGUGACUGGAUCAGCACUUCUAAUGAGGACUCGCACCCUUUUGAGGAGGACAGCAUUUUGAUCACUUUGCUAUUGAUCAAUGGAUAUCUAUUUUUACCAUGGAAACUAAGGGGAAAAAGCAAUAAGGGGAUUGUGCGAAUACAGUGUGACUUGACGGGACUUUGCACCGACUCACACAGCGUCCACGGAUGCUCGGCAUCAGUGGUUAGUUAUGUGUGUGGAGGGGAAAUGGGAUGAACUGUCCAUAAGCACACAUAUUGGAUGAAAUAAAGUGGUAUAGAAUAAAAUAUAAAGAACA